AUCAAACUUUCGAUGGUAGGAUAGAGGCCUACCAUGGUGGUAACGGGUAACGGGGUGUUAGGGCACGACACCGGAGAGGGAGCCUGAGAAACGGCUACCACAUCCAAGGAUGGCAGCAGGCGCGCAAAUUACCCAAUCCCGACAUGGGGAGGUAGUGACAAUAAAUAACAAUACGGGGUUCUUUUGGAUCUCGUAAUUGGAAUGAGUACAAUUUAAAUCUCUUAACGAGGAACAAUUGGAGGGCAAGUCUGGUGCCAGCAGCCGCGGUAAUUCCAGCUCCAAUAGCGUAUAUUAAAGUUGUUGCAGUUAAAAAGCUCGUAGUUGAAUUUCGGGGUUAGUAGGUUGGUCAUGCCUCUGGUAUGUACUGAUCUCACUGAUUCCUCCUUCCUGAUGAACCGUAAUGCCAUUAAUUUGGUGUUGCGGGGAAUUUGGACUGUUACUUUGAAAAAAUUAGAGUGUUUAAAGCAGGCUAACGCUUGAAUACAUUAGCAUGGAAUAAUGAAAUAGGACGUUCGAUCCUAUUUUGUUGGUUUCUAGGAUUGACGUAAUGAUUAAUAGGGAUAGUUGGGGGCAUUAGUAUUCAAUUGUCAGAGGUGAAAUUCUUGGAUUUAUUGAAGACUAACUACUGCGAAAGCAUUUGCCAAGGAUGUUUUCAUUAAUCAAGAACGAAAGUUAGGGGAUCGAAGACGAUCAGAUACCGUCGUAGUCUUAACCAUAAACUAUGCCGACUAGGGAUCGGAUGAUGUUAAUUUUUUAAUGACUCAUUCGGCGCCUUACGGGAAACCAAAGUGUUUGGGUUC
rnacentral:rRNA from 1 species